rnacentral:pre_miRNA from 1 species
AGCAGAAUUGCUGGAUCAUAUGGUAAUUCUAUUUUUAAUUUUUCCAGAAAUCACCAUACUUUUAAACAUAGUGGUUCUACUAUUUUAAAUUUCUACCAACAAU